AUUGAACGCUGGCGGCGUGCCUUACACAUGCAAGUCGAACGGCAGCGGGGACUCCGUUCGGCCGGCGAGUGGCGAACGGGUGAGUAAUGUAUCGGAACGUACCUUUCAGUGGGGGAUAACGUAGCGAAAGUUACGCAAAUACCGCAAAUUCUCUGAGGAGGAAAGCAGGGGACCUUCGGGCGUUGCGCUGAUGGAGCGGCCGGUAUCAGAUUAGCUAGUUGGUGGGGUAAGGGCUCACCGAGGGUACGAUCUGUAGCGGGUCUGAGAGGAUGAUCCGCCACAGUGGGACUGAGACAGGGCCCAGACACACACGAUAUGCGGCAGUGGGGAAUUUUGGACAAUGGGCGAAAGCCUGAUCCAGCCAUGCCGCGUGGAUGAAGAAGGCCAGCGAGUUGUAAAGCUCUUUCGAACGGGAAGAAAUCAUGAGCGCUAAUAUCCCUUGUGGAUGACGGUACCGUAAUAAGAAGCACCGGCUAACUACGUGCCAGCCGCCGCAGUAA
rnacentral:rRNA from 1 species